CGCCAUAUCACGUUGAAACAUUGGUUCCCGUACGAUUGCCGUCGUUAAGUAACGUCGAGCCGGGUCAGUACCUUGAUGGGUGACCGUCUGAGAAUACCAGAUGCUGCAAG